rnacentral:rRNA from 1 species
GGGUUGUGAGGUUAAGCGACUAAGCGUACACGGUGGAUGCCCUGGCAGUCAGAGGCGAUGAAGGACGUGCUAAUCUGCGAUAAGCGUCGGUAAGGUGAUAUGAACCGUUAUAACCGGCGAUUUCCGAAUGGGGAAACCCAGUGUGAUUCGUCACACUAUCAUUAACUGAAUCCAUAGGUUAAUGAGGCGAACCGGGGGAACUGAAACAUCUAAGUACCCCGAGGAAAAGAAAUCAACCGAGAUUCCCCCAGUAGCGGCGAGCGAACGGGGAGCAGCCCAGAGCCUGAAUCAGUGUGUGUGUUAGUGGAAGCGUCUGGAAAGGCGUGCGAUACAGGGUGACAGCCCCGUACACAAAAAUGCACAUACUGUGAGCUCGAUGAGUAGGGCGGGACACGUGGUAUCCUGUCUGAAUAUGGGGGGACCAUCCUCCAAGGCUAAAUACUCCUGACUGACCGAUAGUGAACCAGUACCGUGAGGG